rnacentral:ncRNA from 1 species
UUGCUGCAGUUAAAAGCUCAUAGAUGGCCCUCGUGAUUGAGAUGAUGGUGUGCCGAAACGCUAGCUAACAUCUGUGUUUAUUUGUGUUCAAAGCAGGUACUGGUUAAUACCCUGCUUAGGAAUAAUGGAAUAGGUGUUCAGUUCUAUUUUGUGGGUUUUCUCUGUGAACUGGUGCCAUGAUUAAGAGGGACAGCUGAGAGAAUUCAUGUUAUGCCACUAGAGGUGAAUUUCUUGGAUCAGCACAAGACAGAUAAAAGUGAAAGCUAUUGCCAAAAACGCUUCUAUUAAUCAAGAACCAAAGUCAGAGAUUCAAAGACAAUCAGACACCAUUGUAGUUAAACAAUGCCAACUAGCAAUCUGGUGGUGUUAUUCCCUAUGACCUGCCAGAUAGUCUCUUGGCUCCA